UAAAUUUAGGCCUUUAUAAUUGUAUAUUGCUGAUAAAUACAAGCGUAUGGGGACUCUCUCUAUUAAACCCAGGACUCCGACGAAAUUGCAGGGAAUUCAUGGUCACGGGACCGUUCUCCGCCAAUCGCUCGUCUGGGCCUGGUGGAAAACACAGGCAUUAUUUGCUUUAAUUGAUUCAAAAACUCCAGAGGACCACGGCCUGGAUACCAGAAAGCUUCUUCCUCUACUCUCACCCCUCCACCAGUACCCCAUCCUCCCCCCAGUGCCUUUCUUUUCCCGGAAAAGCCAGCAGAACCGCUUCCUCCCCUCCAGAGACUGGGUGAUGGUGGGAGCCUGGGGCACAACCAAAUUUAAGGGAGAAAUGGCCCUUCUUGUCCGGAGAUUUCGAUGGUGUCAUUUAAUAUGCUUUCUUCAUGUGGCCACCAGGAUCCUCUCACACACUCCAACCCCAAAAGAGCAAAAAGCUCAUUUGGGAGGAAGUCAGGGUCCAAGGUGGAGUUCGCCCUUUGGGGAAAAGGUGAAACUCAGCUAGCACUAACCACCGGCCCGCAGCAGCUCACCCAUCCUCGAAAAGCAGUAGUUCACACUUCAGAAGUGGACAGGACACAUUGGGGCAUUGGCCUACCUUCCCAGCUCCGGGCCCUGGGUUCUGUUUCCUGCUCAGGAUUUACAGGCAAUUCUUCAUAUGCACCUGCCUUCCUGUUGGGGUCACCUAUACUCACACUCUGUGACACCCUACCACUGGCAAUAGGAGGAUCUAAGAAAGUCUAAGAUGGCAGAUGUAUUCACGGCCCUCAAGGCUGUAGCUAUGUCUAGAUCCAGGGACACCAAGAUAGCCAUCCGCUUAACUUUCAAAGCUAAGGACAAUGCAUGGAAAGGGGGCUCUCCCUCAGAACAAAGGGACUCCCCCCCACACUUAAAAUAUUUGCCUUUGGGCUUCUUCUGCUUCUUCUUCUUCUUCCUCUUCUUCUUCUUCUUCUUCUUCUUCUUCUUCUUCUCUUAAUCCCUGGCAAGAAAAAAAAUCCUAAUGAUGGAGGGAGAAGAAAUAAUGACCACCACUGAGAUGAUAUUCUGUUUAUGGCCUCCAGAGAGAAAAACAUUUUAAUGUACUCUAUUGUGAGCUGGCUAUGAUAGGCUCAACUUUAGGAUAUUGUAAUUUACUAGAGGAAGAAGGGAAAGAGAAAAAAAAAAAAAAAACAGCGCCACAAGCAAUUUGGUGGGAAACUAGGCCUCAAAGCUGAAAAUGAAAAGUCGAUCUGGGGGAAGAUUUUUAAAUAAGUGGGUCAGAGGGACCAAGAGGAGAUGAGGCGAUCAAUCUUAGCCCCCUGACAGCUCCCUCCGAUUGCAUCAAAGAAUUUGGCUCUUUGGGAAAGCAGAGGAACAGCCUAAAUUCCACAUCCCUUAAAAAGGCCUGAGGGAGGGGGUAGCAAAAGAGAAAGGUGAUUCUGGGAGAGCCAGGAAACAGAUGGGAAAUGGGGACAGAGGGAAGGCGCUAACUUGGGUGGAAAGUUUGCCCCGGAGAACUCCCACGGCUCCGGCCUCCCCUCCCCCUCUUCGCUCUCUGCGGGGCCCAGCCUAGAGGAGAAGGCUGGUUAGCAGAGAAGUGGCAACUCAGCGCCGAGCUGGAACUAGAAACUUUCUGUCAGUGUAACGUCCGCGUGGGUGGUGACCCAAUGGUGGUUGGGCUUCGGGUCACGUGACAGCCUCAGUGUAGCUGCGGAAGAGAACCGGGAACUUUAGGUGGCCUGGAAGAAGCAGUACAAGGCUAGGUUUGGGGAGAAUGAAAGGGAAGACCAAAAAAGAAAAUUCCAAGAUUUGGGGGAAUUUCCCACAGAGAUGGAAGGUGUGUCAGUUUGGGCGCUUCUUGGAUUCUACCCUGAGGCGGUGCGUGGUGAGAGGAGAGGUUCAGCAGGUUGGCCAUCUCCACCCGGCGCGGCCGGCACAGGUAGCGGUUGAAGUGGAACUCCUUCUCCAGCUCCACCAGCUGCGCGCUCGUGUACGCCGUCCGCGCCCGCUUGGACGCCGCCGACCCCGGGGGGCUCUUGUCCCCUCCCCCGCCGCCGCCGCCGCCGCCCCCUCCGCCGCCCCCUCCGCCGCCGCCGCCGCCACCGCAACCUUCUGCUGGACCCGAGGGGGGGAGGGGCGGGAAGGGGAGAAAAUGAAAUAAAAGAUAAUUACUGAA